rnacentral:rRNA from 1 species
AUUGAACGCUGGCGGCAUGCCUUACACAUGCAAGUCGAACGGCAGCAUGGAGAGCUUGCUCUCUGAUGGCGAGUGGCGAACGGGUGAGUAAUGCAUCGGAACGUACCGUGUAAUGGGGGAUAACGUAGCGAAAGUUACGCUAAUACCGCAUACGACCUGAGGGUGAAAGCAGGGGAUCGCAAGACCUUGCGUUAUACGAGCGGCCGAUGUCAGAUUAGCUAGUUGGUGAGGUAAAGGCUCACCAAGGCGACGAUCUGUAGCGGGUCUGAGAGGACAAUCCGCCACACUGAGACUGAGACACGGCCCAGACUCCUACGGGAGGCAGCAGUGGGGAAUUUUGGACAAUGGGGGCAACCCUGAUCCAGCCAUGCCGCGUGGGUGAAGAAGGCCUUCGGGUUGUAAAGCUCUUUCGGCCGGGAAGAAAUCGCACAGGCUAAUACUCUGUGUGGAUGACGGUACCGGCAUAAGAAGCACCGGCUAACUACGUGCCAGCAGCCGCGGUAA